AAGAAAGAACCAAAGAGGAGACUAGGGAAACAUAAAAAUUAAAUACCAUGUGGGCUGGAUCCUGGAACAUUAAAAGGACAUCACUGGAAUAGCUGGUGAAAUCCAGUUGCGUUCUGUAGCUCAGCCUUUGGCAUCUUCAGAGUGAGAACUGGGAGGAGGCAAGAGGGAAGACUCAGCAAAGCAUAGCAUAACUUGACAGGUAACUCUGCACGUGGAAACUCCAAGAGGUUUCAGCCACUUCUUGAGUCCACAAGAAGAGGCUUAACAAGUCUUCUUUGGCUGAUUCCAGGUCUGGAACUGAACUGUACAAGAGGAAUUUGGAACAUCUUAAUAUACCAAUAGCAAGAUAGCUAUGAAAGACUGUUACUAGAAUAUGACAAAAGAAUUUGAAGAAGCUUCAACUGACCAAAUAUAACAUAAUUUGAACUUCUAAUGAAGUUCAAGAAUUGAUCUAACCUGAAAUCCAGAUGGAAAAAAAAUGAACUGAGAAGAAUAGAAAUUAUUUAAGGAAAUGAGGAAUACUGCAGUCAAAAUUCUGAGAAUUAAAAAAAAUUACUAAAGAAUAAUAUAGAAACUAUCAUGUUGCUGGAAUCGGAAUGACCAGGAUGCAGCCUGGAGCAGAAAACCACUGUACUAUGAAGUUUUAAAUCACACUUAUAAGACCUUAUUAUCACUUAAUAUUGGCAA